rnacentral:SRP_RNA from 2 species
GCCGGGCGUGGUGGCUCAUGCCUGUAAUCCCAGCACCUGGGAGGCCGAGGCAGGUGGAUCACCUGAGGUCAGGAGUUCGAGACCAGCCUGACCUACAUGGUGAAACCCCGUCUCUA